UAUAUUAGCCUAUACAGCGGUGUUAGGGCACAGAGAAUUUUGAUUUCUCAAGAGAGGUUCACUUCCUCCUGGAUAAA
rnacentral:tRNA from 1 species